GAUGAACGCUAGCGGCAGGCUUAACACAUGCAAGUCGAGGGGUAUAUGUCUUCGGAUAUAGAGACCGGCGCACGGGUGCGUAACGCGUAUGCAAUCUACCUUUUACAGGGGAAUAGCCCCAGAGAAAUUUGGAUUAAUGCCCCAUAGUAUAAUUGAAUGGCAUCAUUUAAUUAUUAAAGUCACAACGGUAAAGAUGAGCAUGCGUCCCAUUAGUUAGUUGGUAAGGUAACGGCUUACCAAGACAAUGAUGGGUAGGGGUCCUGAGAGGGAGAUCCCCCACACUGGUACUGAGACACGGACCAGACUCCUACGGGAGGCAGCAGUGAGGAAUAUUGGACAAUGGGCGCAAGCCUGAUCCAGCCAUGCCGCGUGCAGGAAGACGGUCCUAUGGAUUGUAAACUGCUUUUANACAGGAGAAACCNCUCCGACGUGUCGGAGCUUUGACGGUACUGUAGGAAUAAGGAUCGGCUAACUCCGUGCCAGCA
rnacentral:rRNA from 1 species